rnacentral:SRP_RNA from 1 species
GCACACACCUAUAGUCCCAGCUGCUUGGGAUGCUUAGGCAGGUGGAUCAGUUGAGCCCCGAAGUUCUGAGCUAUACUGUGCUGUGCCAAUUGGGUGCCUACACUAAGUUCAGCACCAGCAUGGUGAUGUCUAGGAGCACGGGAACACCAGGUUGUCUAAGGAGGGGUGAACUGGCGCAGGUCAGAAACAAAGUAGGUCAAAACUCCUAUGCCGAUUAGUAGUGGGAUUGCGCCUGUGAACAGCCACUGUACUCCAGCCUGGGCAACAUAGCGUGAGGCCCUGUUUCU